UAACUACGUGCCAGCAGCCGCGGUAAUACGUAGGGGUGCGAGCGUUAAUCGGAAUUACUGGGCGUAAAGCGUGCGCAGGCUCGGUUUCGUAAGACAGACGUGAAAUCCCCGGGGCUCAACCUGGGAACUGCGUUUGUGACUGCGAGGCUAGAGUACGGCAGGAAGGGGGGUAGAAUUCCACGUGUAGCAGUGAAAUGCGUAGAGAUGUGGAGGAAUACCGAUGGCGAAGGCAGCCCCCUGGGUACUAGUACUGACGCUCAUGCACGAAAGCGUGGGGAGCAAACAGGAUUAGAUACCCUGGUAGUCCACGCCCUAAACGAUGUCAGUACUAGGUGUUGGAAGGGUUAAACCUUUUAGUACCGCAGCUAACGCGUGAAGUUGACCGCCUGGGGAGUACGGCCGCAAGGUUUUAAAACUCAAAGGAAUUGACGGGGACCCGCACAAGCGGUGGAUGAUGUGGAUUAAUUCGAUGCAACGCGAAGAACCUUAUUCCUACCCUUGACAUGCCAGGAACUUUCCAGAGAUGGAUUGGUGCCCGAAAGGGAGCCUGGACACAGGUGCUGCAUGGCUGCAUCGUCAGCUCGUGUCGUGAGAUGUUGGGUUAAGUCCCGCAACGAGCGCAACCCUUGUCAUUAAUUGCCAUCAUUUAGUUGUUGGCACUUUAAUGAGACUGCCGGUGACAAACCGGAGGAAGGUGGGGAUGACGUCAAGUCCUCAUGGCCCUUAUGGGUAGGGUACUUCACACGUCAUACAAUGGUCGGUACAGAGGGUUGCCAAGCCGCGAGGUGGAGCCAAUCCCAGAAAGCCGAUCGUAGUCCCCGGAUCGCAGUCUGCAACUCGACUGCGUGAAGUCGGAAUCGCUAGUAAUCGCGGAUCAGCAUGUCGCGGUGAAUACGUUCGCCCGGGUCUUGUACACACCGCCCGUCACACCAUGGGAGUGGGUUCUACCAGAAGUAGUUAGCCUAACCGUAAGGAGGGCGAAUUUACCACGGUAGGAUUCAUGACUGGGGUGAAGUC
rnacentral:rRNA from 1 species